UACAGAGGGUGCGAGCGUUGUCCGGAAUCACUGGGCGUAAAGGGCGCGUAGGUGGUGACCUAAGCGUGCGGUGAAAGCCCGAGGCUCAACCUCGGGUCGGCCGUGCGAACUGGGUCACUGGAGCAGAAUAGAGGCAGGUGGAAUUCCGGGUGUAGCGGUGGAAUGCGUAGAGAUCCGGAAGAACACCGGUGGCGAAGGCGGCAUCCUGGACCGACACUGACGCUGAGGAGCGAAAGCCAGGGGAGCAAACGGG
rnacentral:rRNA from 1 species